rnacentral:lncRNA from 1 species
GAACCUGCUGGGCCAUCUGCUGAGUCUAUGGGGAACUUUGACACUGGUGAUACAUCCAGCCAAGGCGCCUCACCUGCACAUGAAACUCAGAUGUCUUGGGAGAGGGAGAAUGCUGCCAUGCAAGAGGGUGGAUCACUGGCUUCCAGCAGGAGUGCAUCCCCAGUGCAGUUAUCGUCUGACCCAAGAAAAGGCACAUACGUGGGGCUGCGUAACCAGGGUUCCACCUGCUACUUAAACAGCCUGCUGCAGUGUCUCUUCUUCACACGAGAGCUCAGAAGGGUCAUCCUCAGCUGUGAUAAUUAUGACUCCAGCAUCGUGUGUCAGCUGAAAAAGCUGUUUCAAGAACUGAAGCGUAAUAAAUCAGUACCUUCCACUGAAAGGAUUACAAAAUGUCUUGGGGUGAGAGAUGUGCACCAGCAGCAGGAUGUUGUGGAAUAUUUCCGGAUUCUGAUGAAUAAAAUCAUUGAGGACAAGGAAGCGAUUCAGCAGCUAUACCAGGUGGAAAUGGUCCAUUCCAUCACUUGCCAUGGAUGCAAACAUCAAACU